AUUGAACGCUGGCGGCAUGCUUUACACAUGCAAGUCGAACGGUAACAGGCCGCAAGGUGCUGACGAGUGGCGAACGGGUGAGUAAUGCAUCGGAACGUGCCCAGUCGUGGGGGAUAACGCAGCGAAAGCUGUGCUAAUACCGCAUACGAUCUAUGGAUGAAAGCGGGGGACCGUAAGGCCUCGCGCGAUUGGAGCGGCCGAUGUCAGAUUAGGUAGUUGGUGGGGUAAAGGCCCACCAAGCCAACGAUCUGUAGCUGGUCUGAGAGGACGACCAGCCACACUGGGACUGAGACACGGCCCAGACUCCUACGGGAGGCAGCAGUGGGGAAUUUUGGACAAUGGGCGCAAGCCUGAUCCAGCAAUGCCGCGUGCAGGAAGAAGGCCUUCGGGUUGUAAACUGCUUUUGUACGGAACGAAACGGUCUGGGUUAAUACCCUGGGCUAAUGACGGUACCGUAAGAAUAAGCACCGGCUAACUACGUGCCAGCCGCCGCGGUAA
rnacentral:rRNA from 1 species